AAUUUCCUAAAAUUACUUUGAAUAUUCUCUCACGACGGUCUCUUCAAUUCCUGUGUUUUGCUGGUUUCCUUGUUAUGAUGUUGCUCCCCAAACAACUCUGGAACUCACCUUCUUCUGAGGGAUUGGGAGCCAGAAUUCUUCAUCAGAGCUUACCCUCAAGACCUUUUCUCUCCGAACCCCAUCUUGGGUGAUUUAACUUCUAUGGGGAUUUUAAAAAAACUGAUACAAGGAGUGCCUGGAAGAAGUCUGUGUCUAGCAACCUCUGAACAGAGACAUGGAAAGGCCUUCAGCCUCUGGGGAGAUAUGAGUUACAGACCUAAAGUCCAGACUUUCAGACAUGGUAAGCCUUUUCACUUGCAUGGGCUUUGAAAGGGGGUGCUAAAGCUCUAGAGUUCCUGCUGCAGGGAGUUAAUCUUCCAGAAAAGGCCUGCAAAGGCUCUGAGAAGCUUCACCCAGCCCAGCUUUCCUCAGAUCUCCCUCAGGCAGCUGUGACUCCUUAGUUCCCUCUUGGCUCCUCCCCAGUCCAGAUUAGCCCUGGUUGCAUUGUCAUUUCACUGCCAGUCAGAGCACAUCUAUGGAGCAGAGUCACCUCUGGAGGCUCAGGAGUCUGGGGCCCCAGCCCUUUGAUAGCUGAGUUUUAGAAAUACCUUGAGAUUUGGGAGGGUACCAGGGAACAGGGUCAAGGGUGCUAAGGAACCGCUGGAGUAAGGAGCUGUGUUCAGGGGCAAAGGUGAUUCACAGGGGAUGCUAAUCCUUCAGUCUACAGGGUUUACUGAUCCUACCUAUUGUUUGGUCUUUGAGGGCAGGAAUGCUAGGCCUGAGAGAGGGAGGCACUGAUAGUAAUAAUGACAGCUACUUUUUAUCCAGACCAUCUAUAUGUCAGACACCAUACGUACACCCUGUCAUUUAAUCCUCCAAUAACUCUGUGAGAGAGCUAGGAAUAGUUGCAUUUUAUGGAUUAAAUAGUUUAAAAAAAAAGAAAAACACCCUGAAGCUCAGAGAAGUUGCCCAUAACCAUUGAGAGAGAAUUGGAAUUGAACCCAAUCCCAUAUCUGUGUAUCUCAAGCCAGUGGUAGACUGCCUAGAAAUAUAAAUUUUGUCCUCAUCAUCAAUACUUGGGCUACCUGAUGUGAAGAGGCGAUUCACUGGAAAAGACCCUGAUGCUGGGAAAGAUUGAAGGCAGGAGANNNNNNNNNNNNNNNNNNNNNNNNNNNNNNNNNNNNNNNNNNNNNNNNNNNNNGAAUUUGAGCAAAUUCCAGGAGAUAGUGGAGGGCAGAGGAGCCUGGCAUGCUGCAGUUCAUGAGGUCACAAGGAAUUGGAUGUGACUUAGCAACUGAAAAACAACAGUCAUCAAAAAGCUCACAGUCCUUGUCUGCUCUCUGCCUACACUAGUUCAACAUCAUCUCUUGUCAAUGCUCCUCUCACUCUGUGCUCCAGACGUACUGAAAUACUAGCAGUUUCUGCACGCUUUAUACAUGCUGUUUGCUCUGCCUCGAAUG
rnacentral:lncRNA from 1 species